rnacentral:rRNA from 1 species
CAUGCAAGUCGAGCGAUGAAGCACCUUCGGGUGUGAAUUAGCGGCGAACGGGUGAGGAACACGUGAGAAAUCUGCCUUCACACUGGGAUAACUCCGGGAAACCGGGGCUAAUACCGGAUAUGAAAUCUGCGGGCAUCCGCGGAUUUGGAAAGUUUUUCGGUUGAAGAUGAUCUCGCGGCCUAUCAGCUUGUUGGUGAGGUAAUGGCUCACCAAGGCGACGACGGGUAGCCGGCCUGAGAGGGCGACCGGCCACACUGGGACUGAGACACGGCCCAGACUCCUACGGGAGGCAGCAGUGGGGAAUAUUGGGCAAUGGAGGAAACUCUGACCCAGCGACGCCGCGUGCGGGAUGAAGGCCUUCGGGUUGUAAACCGCUUUCAGCAGGGAAGAAGCGAAAGUGACGGUACCUGCAGAAGAAGCACCGGCUAACUAUGUGCCAGCAGCCGCGGUAAUACAUAGGGUGCAAGCGUUGUCCGGAAUUAUUGGGCGUAAAGAGCUCGUAGGUGGUUCGUCACGUCGGAUGUGAAAAUCUGGGGCUUAACCCCAGACCUGCAUUCGAUACGGGCGAGCUUGAGUAUGGUAGGGGAGUCUGGAAUUCCUGGUGUAGCGGUGGAAUGCGCAGAUAUCAGGAGGAACACCAAUGGCGAAGGCAGGACUCUGGGCCAUUACUGACACUGAGGAGCGAAAGCGUGGGGAGCGAACAGGAUUAGAUACCCUGGUAGUCCACGCCGUAAACGGUGGGCACUAGUUGUGGGGACCUUCCACGGUCUCUGCGACGCAGCUAACGCAUUAAGUGCCCCGCCUGGGGAGUACGAUCGCAAGAUUAAAACUCAAAGGAAUUGACGGGGCCCC